rnacentral:rRNA from 1 species
UACGUAGGGUGCAAGCGUUGUCCGGAAUUAUUGGGCGUAAAGAGCUUGUAGGCGGUUUGUCGCGUCUGCUGUGAAAAUCCGGGGCUCAACCCCGGACUUGCAGUGGGUACGGGCAGACUAGAGUGUGGUAGGGGAGACUGGAAUUCCUGGUGUAGCGGUGAAAUGCGCAGAUAUCAGGAGGAACACCAAUGGCGAAGGCAGCUCGCUGGAACGGUACUGACGCUGAGGCGCGAAAGCGUGGGGAGCAAACAGG